rnacentral:tRNA from 1 species
AUUUAUAUAGUUUAAAAUAAAACAUUACAUUUUCACUGUAAAAACAAUAUUUAAUUUUUAUUUAUAAAUA